ACUAUCUCAUUUCGGCGCCUCUGUUACCUUAUCCCCAAAUCUCUCUAAAGGUUCACAGCGACGCAAUCGUGAGCGAUCCACAGCGAGUCCUAGGCCGAGAUCACACCAUCGUGAGCGAUCCACAGCGACGCAAUGGCUUCCAAAUCCUACAACAAGAUCACUGAUAUCUACGACGACCUCAUCCUUCAGUUCGAUUUCGUCUAAAGGCCCGGGAAGAGUGUUUUGGGAGGAUUACCAUUGAAGCCAUGGCAUUUCAACUACCUGUACUGGUAUGUGCAUGGGGAUGUAAAACCUGAGAACUUUUUGCUUGGUACUCCAGGAA